GAAGAAGCACCGGCUAACUCCGUGCCAGCAGCCGCGGUAAUACGGAGGGUGCAAGCGUUAAUCGGAAUUACUGGGCGUAAAGCGCGCGUAGGUGGCUUGAUAAGCCGGUUGUGAAAGCCCCGGGCUCAACCUGGGAACGGCAUCCGGAACUGUCAAGCUAGAGUGCAGGAGAGGAAGGUAGAAUUCCCGGUGUAGCGGUGAAAUGCGUAGAGAUCGGGAGGAAUACCAGUGGCGAAGGCGGCCUUCUGGACUGACACUGACACUGAGGUGCGAAAGCGUGGGUAGCAAACAGGAUUAGAUACCCUGGUAGUCCACGCCGUAAACGAUGUCGACCAGCCGUUGGGUGCCUAGCGCACUUUGUGGCGAAGUUAACGCGAUAAGUCGACCGCCUGGGGAGUACGGCCGCAAGGUUAAAACUCAAAUGAAUUGACGGGGGCCCGCACAAGCGGUGGAGCAUGUGGUUUAAU
rnacentral:rRNA from 2 species